AUUGAACGCUGGCGGCAGGCCUAACACAUGCAAGUCGAGCGGAUGAAGGGAGCUUGCUCCUGGAUUCAGCGGCGGACGGGUGAGUAAUGCCUAGGAAUCUGCCUGGUAGUGGGGGAUAACGUCCGGAAACGGGCGCUAAUACCGCAUACGUCCUGAGGGAGAAAGUGGGGGAUCUUCGGACCUCACGCUAUCAGAUGAGCCUAGGUCGGAUUAGCUAGUUGGUGGGGUAAAGGCCUACCAAGGCGACGAUCCGUAACUGGUCUGAGAGGAUGAUCAGUCACACUGGAACUGAGAAACGGUCCAGACUCCUACGGGAGGCAGCAGUGGGGAAUAUUGGACAAUGGGCGAAAGCCUGAUCCAGCCAUGCCGCGUGUGUGAAGAAGGUCUUCGGAUUGUAAAGCACUUUAAGUUGGGAGGAAGGGAAGUAAGUUAAUACCUUGCUGUUUUGACGUUACCAACAGAAUAAGCACCGGCUAACUUCGUG
rnacentral:rRNA from 1 species